rnacentral:miRNA from 1 species
UGGAAGGCCUGGCUUUGCAGCG